GACGUAGGGCGCGAGCGUUGUCCGGAUUUAUUGGGCGUAAAGAGCUCGUAGGCGGCUUGUCGCGUCGACUGUGAAAACCCGUGGCUCAACCAUGUGGUCUGCAGUCGAUACGGGCAGACUAGAGUUCGGUAGGGGAGUCUGGAAUUCCUGGUGUAGCGGUGAAGUGCGCAGAUAUCAGGAGGAACACCGGUGGCGAAGGCGGGACUCUGGGCCGAUACUGACGCUGAGGAGCGAAAGCGUGGGGAGCAAACAGG
rnacentral:rRNA from 1 species